GUGUGUGUGUGUGUGUGUGGGUAGUGGGCUUUACUUACCUGCAGGUUGAGGACAAGAAAGCUCACAGAGGAAGAGGGGCUAGAUAAAACCCUGCCCUGGGGAGGGGAGGAGGAGCAGGAAAGCUGGGGAAAUACAGGGUCUCCAGGGCUUUCCCUCAUUUGCUUUUGCUCUCACCCUGGGCCUUGCAUUGACUCUGGACUUCAGCUAAGGUAUUAAUCAGAAGUUCAAAGGAAUUGAGUUCCACCUCCAUCAGGAUCACAAACAAUCCUGCCAUUCAGUGCCUCACCCCUGACCUCAAGUUCUGUCCCAAUUCCAGGGGCAGGUUGGGGGUGGAAUCAAUUAGGAUAGAAAAAGAGGUAGGAGGUGAAUGGGCAAAUAAGCUCAUAGUUCAUUUUCCCUACCACUAUUCUUUCCACUCCAAUUCCCUCAUCCCACAAACUGAGGACAUAACGGGCUCUUCUGCUGAGCCAGGAGGCGUGGGAUUUGAUGAUUAGAACAAGGUCUAGGAGUUAUAUAUCCCAAACCUAGGACACGGGGCGAUGGUGAAGGGAAGAAGCUAGGGCGGAAAGCUAAAGGGUGCCAUACGACAUAACUCUUCCUGCCAGGUGAAGAGGUCCCAGUGUGAAAGGAGAGGUCAGUGUAGGUAGGCCUUGGAGUCAGCUCUCACCCUCAUAUGUCCAGUGAUCAUCUGCAAGGCAGAGGGAUUUGAGUUACCGCCCGCCUGGGGCAGGGCCCUCCGGGGCGUCUGUACCCUCCACCUCCCUCUCUGCUCCGGCGCUCUCCUCCCUCCGCUCCAGCACUUCCCAAAGGAAGCCCUGAAACUGGAUACCUCAGUGGAAAGGUCGGAGAGGUCGGGGGCCUAUUUAAAAUCGCCAGCCAGGCUGUGCCUGUGCCUGCUGUGGAAAGGGGGAGGAGAAAUGAAAAGAGAUAAAGGCCGGAGACUAAAAUUAACCUGGACCCAAACGCGCAGUCCACCCAACCCUCACUUUCUCCAGCCUGUGCCAAGCCAAUCGAACACCGAGAACGUCCGGGGCUCCCUUCACCACUCUCCUCCCGCCAAGCCUGGGUAAGGACACCAGCACCGACCCCGACACUCAGGUGUACCUACCCCCGAG